GCGAAGUUAAGGGUUCGAAGACGAUCAGAUACCGUCGUAGUCUUAACUAUAAAUGAUACUGACCAGGGAUAGGACUCUGUCCAUUCCGACUUCUUCUGGACCUUGGAGAAAUUACAGUCUUUGAGUUCUGGGGGGAGUAUGGUCGCAAGGCUGAAACUUAAAGGAAUUGACGGAAGGGCACACAAAGAGUGGAACCUGCGGCUUAAUUUGACUCAACACGGGAAAACUCACCAGGUCCGGAUACACGUAUGAAAGACAAGCUGAAAGACUUUUCUCAAUGAUGUAAGUGGUGGUGCAUGGUCGUUCUUAGUUCGUGGAUUGAUUUGUCUGGUCUAUUCCGAUAACGAGCGAGACCCCGGCGUUCCUAAUAGAGGCGGCAGCCCGACUUACCUCGCAAGGGGUCUGUUAGCAGCCGUCGUAUAAAACUUCUUAGACGUAUCAGAGCCGAUAAGGUUCUUGAAAUGGGUUAAUAACAGGUCAGUCAUGCCCUUAGAUGUUCUGGGCCGCACGCGCGUUACAAUGGUAUAAAUAGAAAGUGCUCACACGGGCUUCUCCGCGGCCUAAUGGUCGCGGUAAACCGUAAUCUCUCCCUUGACUGGGACAGACUAUUGCAAUUAUUGGUCUCAAACGAGGAAUUUUUAGUAGUCGCAGGUCAUUAACCUGCGACGAAUGCGUCCCUGCCCUUUGUACACACCGCC
rnacentral:rRNA from 1 species